GUCCCUUGGGGGACAUUCGAUAAAAUUGAAACGAUACAGAGAAGAUUAGCAUGGCCCCUGCGCAAGGAUGACACGCACAAAUCCAAAAAAAAAAGUAUGUGA
rnacentral:snRNA from 1 species